rnacentral:misc_RNA from 1 species
AAGUCGUAACAAGGUUUCCGUAGGUGAACCUGCGGAAGGAUCAUUAACGAGUAAAACGAGGGAGUUGUAGCUGGCCGCAAGGCAUGUGCACGCUUUCUUACUCAAUCCAACCUUACACCUGUGCAUCUAUUGUAGGUCGGGUAGCCUAAGUCUUUGCGGACUCGGGCUGCUCUUCUUAUGUUUUACACAUACACUUGUAGUCUCAGAAUGUAAUCUGCGUUUAACGCAUCUAUAAACAACUUUCAACAACGGAUCUCUUGGCUCUC